AGAGUGACAGGUGGUGCAUGGUUGUCGUCAGCUCGUGUCGUGAGAUGUUGGGUUAAGUCCCGCAACGAGCGCAACCCUUGAUCUUAGUUGCCAUCAUUAAGUUGGGCACUCUAAGGUGACUGCCGGUGACAAACCGGAGGAAGGUGGGGAUGACGUCAAAUCAUCAUGCCCCUUAUGACCUGGGCUACACACGUGCUACAAUGGACGGUACAAAGAGCUGCAAGACCGCGAGGUGGAGCUAAUCUCAUAAAACCGUUCUCAGUUCGGAUUGUAGGCUGCAACUCGCCUACAUGAAGCUGGAAUCGCUAGUAAUCGCGGAUCAGCAUGCCGCGGUGAAUACGUUCCCGGGCCUUGUACACACCGCCCGUCACACCACGAGAGUUUGUAACACCCGAAGUCGGUGGGGUAACCUUUAUGGAGCCAGCCGCCUAAGGUGGGACAGAUGAUUGGGGUGAAGUCGUAACAAGGUAGCCGUAUCGGAAGG
rnacentral:rRNA from 1 species